GACGAACGCUGGCGGCGUGCCUAAUACAUGCAAGUCGAGCGGACCACUUCGGUGGUCAGCGGCGGACGGGUGAGUAACACGUGGGCAACCUGCCUGUAAGACUGGGAUAACACUGGGAAACCGGUGCUAAUACCGGAUAAUCCUUUCCUUCACAUGAAGGGAAUCUGAAAGACGGUUUCGGCUGUCACUUACAGAUGGGCCCGCGGCGCAUUAGCUAGUUGGUGAGGUAACGGCUCACCAAGGCAACGAUGCGUAGCCGACCUGAGAGGGUGAACGGCCACACUGGGACUGAGACACGGCCCAGACUCCUACGGGAGGCAGCAGUAGGGAAUCUUCCGCAAUGGACGAAAGUCGGACGGAGCAACGCCGCGUGGGCGAUGAAGGCCUUCGGGUCGUAAAGCUCUGUUGUCAGGGAAGAACAAGUACCGGAGUAACUGCCGGUACCUUGACGGUACCUGACCAGAAAGCCACGGCUAACUACGUGCCAGCCGCCGCCGUAAGAC
rnacentral:rRNA from 1 species